rnacentral:misc_RNA from 1 species
CAUCUGCUUCACCCAUGCGCAUUCCAGCAGAAAGAUUUCUCAAACUUAGAGCAAUUGGUGCUCCUGCAGUUGUCCUCUAUCUGGCCAUCCAGGGCAUAUUCCGAGGGUUUAAGGAUACAAAGACUCCUGUCUUAUGUCUUGGACUGGGCAAUUUAUCAGCUGUGUUCUUAUUUCCUGUGCUAAUGUAUUAUUUUCACCUGG